rnacentral:tRNA from 2 species
CAGAGCGUAGCUAAAGUAGUAAAGCAUCUCCCUUACACUGAGAAGUCAUCCGUGCAAGUCGGAUCGCCCUGA